GAAUUGCUAGGUAGAGAGCUACCUCUUCAGCUUUACCAAAUGUGCCAUAUUGUCCCCAAGUGGCCUACCAAUCAUCACUCCAUGCCUUCUCCUAUUAUUUGAUAUUGUUGGACUUGUGAUAUUGAAUGUUUGCUAACCUUGUGACCGUGAAACGACAUUUGCUUGUUUUUCUUGGACACUUCUUCACACUGUGCUGCUAGACAAGCUGAGGGAAAUUGUUUUGAAGUCUGCUGUGUAACGUCUGGUGAUCCUCUUCCCUCCCGAAUCCCAUUUACUCACAUCUAGAAAUGGAAAUCAUGGAACUUACCUGACAUAGUUGUGAGGAUCCUGUCACAAUCACUAGUGACGUAUUCUUCCCUCUUCCUUCUCCCUGCCACACAUACCCAUAAAAUAAGUAUUGGAAUGAAUGCAUACUUAAAGGUUUUUUUUGUAUUUAUUUCUCAGAGAUAUCCAGUGGUAGAAAAGAUAGCACAGAAGUCGUAAGGGGUCAUAGUGUUGAAGCAAAUCCUAAAGAGGUUGAAGAGGAAGAAAGGCAUAUGCCUAAAAGAAAAAGAAAGAAGCAUUACCCCUCUUCAGAAGAUGAACUGGGUAUUUAGAAUAUAUGUGUUCCUGUUUUAGACAUCUUUGAAAAUCGUAUUAUUUUCAUAUCCAACAUGGGCCAAUAACGUAGAAAAUUCUUGGGGGUAGUAUUUGUUUCCUGUACAACUCUUGAGUCUAGUUUGUUUCUGGACUCACUUAACUCCUUCCGGGUCUUUUCUGGACUUGAUCUAGAAACUAGAUUGUUCUCUGUGGAAGACCCAACCCUGGAACUCACACAAAGCCAGGUUCCCUCUGUAGCCUGGGCCUGGCACCUAGCCAGGUGCCUCCCAGUUCCUUAUUUUAUAUCAUGAACAGAUGCCGUGCAGAGCUGGCGAAGCACGGCAGUAAAGGUGCGUGUAUUAGCCCUUCCGUGCUUCAUAGUGUGAUUCUCUCAUGGUCUAGGACAGUUGCCAUCCAAUAGAACUUGCUGCAGUGAUGGAAAUGUUUUGUCUAGUACAGUAGCAACUAGCCAU
rnacentral:lncRNA from 1 species